CCCACUGACACCCAUUGACACCCAUUGUCACCGUCACCGUCACCGUCACCCCCUCCUGCCAUGGCCAUAUAAGGGCAGCCCCACAGCCCCAUAGCACCCACAGGAACCGGCAGGAUGUGCUCUGGUGCUCAGUGUCUGGUGAACCUCCUGCGCUGGAUCUGGGGCAUCGUGCGGCGCCUCUGGGGGGGGCAUGGAGUGACCCCCCCUCCCCCCGCGGCUGAACGAAGGACACUGGUGCCGGAUAAACAGGACUGAGCCCCUCCCCCCCCCGGACCUGAACCCCCCAAUGGGGACCCUGAACCCCCCAAUGGGGAACAUGGACCCCAAUGGGGACACUGAACCCCCCAAUGGGGAACAUGGACCCCAAUGGGGACACUGAACCCCAAUGGGACACUGAACCCCCCAAUGGGGACACUGAACCCCAAUGGGGACCCUGAACCCCAAUGGGGACCAUGAACCCCAAUGGGGACACUGAACCCCAAUGGGGACCCUGAACCCCCCAAUGAGACCCUGAACCCCAAUGGGGACCCUGAACCCCAAUGGGGACACUGAACCCCAAUGGGGAACAUGAACCCCAAUGGGGACACUGAACCCCAAUGGGGAACAUGGACCCCAAUGGGGACACUGAACCCCAAUGGGGACACUGAACCCCAAUGGGGAACAUGAACCCCAAUGGGGACACUGAACCCCAAUGGGGAACAUGGACCCCAAUGUGACCCUGAACCCCAAUGGGGACCAUGAACCCCAAUGGGGACCCUGAACCCCAAUGAGACACUGAACCCCAAUGGGACCAUUCCAGGCAAUAAAUACCCUUGAAGCCACA